ensembl:antisense Gm12500 predicted gene 12500
GGCCGGGGUCGGGAUGCAGAGAAAGCAGAUGGAGCAGCACCAGCUCUAAGCUCUUUACUACCCUCACCCACCUCGGGAACCCUCAUCCCUUGCCAAGGCUCCAAGGCAAAGAAGCCAAAGUCCAGGCUAGGCUGGUCCAGCCAGCCAGAGAGAAAAAUAAUAGGCAAGAAUACCGCCUGAGCUCCAGCCUCAAAACCCAUUUCCUCCAGGGAAGGAACAACCGUACUCAUGAAAACCCAGAGCCUCUGGGGCAGAGCCCCCCUCUUUUCUUCUCCAUCUGACCCCUGCUCUAGGGACAGCCCAGCUCCGGGAGGAGGCAGAACUGAGAAUUCGAGCCCAGGAGGGAGGGGCCUGUCUUGGGAAAAUUCCACUGACCGGCAGAAGCUGUCUCCUAGGAAGACAGGAAGAGUAGGAGGCUGGGUCUUGUCUGAGGUCGGUGGGAAAGACCCCAGCCUACUCUGACCUGUCGCUCUGCCUGUACACUCAAGAUCUGCUUCCCUGGACCCUUCUAGGAGCCGUUCACGUCCCCUAGGUCUUGCAGGCAUUGCCAAGACCCCCCACCCACUUCUCACCCGACCCAGGCACCUCUGCCUUGGAGUCCCUUUAUCAACCACACACGCGCCACACACUUACCUGAGGCCAUGCUGCCCAAGUCCCGAGUGGCACCAGGAAGGCAGCCUACGAAAGUCUGCACAGCGAGGGAGCCGGGCUGAAGAGGGGAGAGGGCCCCCACCGGGGCGAAGUCGCGCCACUGGCCCCUGCACCCGCACUGAGAAGCGGGAAGGAAGGCAGGGUUUUCAAAAUGGCCAGCUGGCCGGGGGGCGGACUCCCGCCGACUUCAGCGGCCAGACUGACCUCAGGAGACCCCGGAGUCGCGACCCCAAGCCUGCACUCAAGAGGAAACAGGCCACGUGCUCCCCAGAAAACCGGACCCGGAAUUCGCCUAGGGUUCUUUCACCACUUUCUGGGAAUCAAUUAGGGAUCCGGCUCCUGUGGCCGGGCUACGGGGGAGUCACGCAACAGGUGCGACCCCGCCGAAACCUUCCGGGCUGCGCGCCAAUCUCGCGUACCCCAGGCCCCGCCAAAUCCGCGGCCACGCCCCGUUCGGCCACGCCUCUGGCCUCCUGGCCACGCCCCAACCAUUUUCCCAGUUCCCUUACGCCACGUGGGCAGCCUCCAGACCAGGGUUGGCCUUGGCUUGGCCCUUUGGUCUUGGGCGAUUUCUGUGCGUCAGUUUCCUCAUCAGUAAGAUGGGAUGAGGCAAUGGAAACACCUCAUCCAAAGAAAGGAGUUACUGAGGACUGAAGGUAAAUCCCCUUUGCACAAUGUCUGGCACAAAGUCAGGUAGCUAUUAUUAGGGUCCCAGAAUCCAUUUCAAGCAGAAGCCCUGCCCUUGAAUUCUCCGCAUUCCCACCUGAAUCUCUUUCCUUCUAUCAGUCAUUGGUAGGCAGGAUGUGCCCUUCAAAGCCGGUUCACCAUCCCACAUUAAUUUCUAUGUUGACGUUAGACUAGCCAGAAUGCCUAGGUUCAAAUUCAGACAUCAUCUACUUUCUGACUGAUGGCGAACUUCUCUCUGGGUUUUACUGGUUAACUUUGGCUCUUACACCCGCUCUGAUGAAGAUAAAGGAGAUAAUUAUAAGUGCUUAGACUUGUGCCUGGCCUGUAAGUUACUUCCCAAUCAGUGUUCCUGGAAGAUUUCUUUGGCCUGGGAUCACUAUGGCCAGCUCAUUGAUUUCUCCUUGUGGGUUAUGAGAAAUUGGGCUGUUUGAAUAGGGCCACAGACACCCUCUCAAACAAGGAUUCCUGCCUCCCAGGGGCAGCCUGUACCUACAGGAACCCUGAAAAGGAAAGUCCUCCCCUUUAUCAGCAGCAGUUGGUCCCUUCCCUGGCCUCUCCCCUGGGGGAGUCUUUGCCCCCUCACCCAGCUGCUCUGAAGUCUCUCCAGCUGCUUUCAGUCCCUCCUCUCCCCAACUGGAACUCUGAGUCCUGAUCCCUGAUCUCUAUCUGCAUCUGAUGUGGCCUCUAGGGAGUCUCCUAUCCGCUAUACUAAAACAAACUUUAAAAACUAUUGCCUUAGGCUGGGGGUGUCAGCUCAGGGGCAGUAUCCCUCUGCCUUACAUGCGAAAGCAAACCCCAGAAUUGCAGAAAAACGAUGAAAAUACAAAUUUUUUAAAAACCCUACAGGUGGCCUCCAUAAACUUGGGAGACCAGUGGGUUAUGGGAAUCCAGCUCACAGAGAAUCAGACUAAAAUAGAACAAGGAGAACCUUAUUCUUACACCGUUACGUUUAAAUAUCAAAACAGGAACCACUAAAAGCAUCGGAUACAGGUGAUGGUGUACUGAGCUGGGGCACGCAUUAUGUGGCUGUAAAUACUAAUAUAAUCUAAGAACCGUUUGGCAAAAUAAAAUCAAGUAUCGCUAUAA